AUCUAAAUAGUUUAAGGAGAAAAUAUUGGUUUGUGGUGCCAGUGAUGUAGUUUGUAUUUUAGAUU
rnacentral:tRNA from 1 species